GUCUCUCUCUGCUGUCUACUUGUAUUAGAUGCGAGAGUAAAACAUAUUUUAAGGAAUGAGGAUUCCUCCUGUCCAUCCAGAGAAUUCUGCACUAGGUAGCUGCUUUGUAAAGGUAGCUUUAUUAGUGGCAACUCUUAUUUCUUUCUAUGGCCUACACCUGCCUUGUCGUGGGACAUCAUAUUCCUUCCCAAAUUGGGCUAUGUUUUCAUU
rnacentral:misc_RNA from 1 species